UUAGAGUUUGAUCAUGGCUCAGGACGAACGCUGGCGGCGUGCCUAAUACAUGCAAGUCGAACGAGGCUUUUUGAUUGAUGCUUGCAUCAGCUAAAAAGCCGAGUGGCGAAUGGGUGAGUAACACGUGGGUAACCUGCCUUGAAGCGGGGGAUAACAUUUGGAAACAGAUGCUAAUACCGCAUAACCACAAAAACCUCCUGGUUUUUGUGUCAAAGAUGGUUCUGCUAUCACUUCAAGAUGGACCCGCGGCGUAUUAGCUUGUUGGUGAGGUAACGGCUCACCAAGGCAAUGAUACGUAGCCGAACUGAGAGGUUGAUCGGCCACAUUGGGACUGAGACACGGCCCAAACUCCUACGGGAGGCAGCAGUAGGGAAUCUUCCACAAUGGACGCAAGUCUGAUGGAGCAACGCCGCGUGAGUGAAGAAGGUCUUCGGAUCGUAAAACUCUGUUGUCAGAGAAGAACGUGCGUGAGAGCAACUGUUCAUGCAGUGACAGUAUCUGACCAGAAAGUCACGGCUAACUACGUGCCAGCAGCCGCGGUAAUACGUAGGUGGCAAGCGUUGUCCGGAUUUAUUGGGCGUAAAGGGAACGCAGGCGGUCUUUUAAGUCUGAUGUGAAAGCCUUCGGCUUAACCGAAGUCGUGCAUUGGAAACUGGGGGACUUGAGUGCAGAAGAGGAGAGUGGAACUCCAUGUGUAGCGGUGAAAUGCGUAGAUAUAUGGAAGAACACCAGUGGCGAAAGCGGCUCUCUGGUCUGUAACUGACGCUGAGGUUCGAAAGCGUGGGUAGCAAACAGGAUUAGAUACCCUGGUAGUCCACGCCGUAAACGAUGAAUGCUAAGUGGUUGGAAGGGUUUCCGCCCUUCAGUGCCGCAGCUAACGCAUUAAGCAUUCCGCCUGGGGGAGUACGAUCGCAAGAUUGAACUCCAAAAGGAAUUGACGGGGGCCCGCACAAGCGGUGGAAGCAUGUGGUUUAAUUCGAAGCAACGCGAAGAACCUUACCAGGUCUUGACAUCUUUUGCCAGGUUGAGAGAUCAGCUGUUCCCUUCGGGG
rnacentral:rRNA from 1 species